AUGGCUGUCCAAGAACACACUUUAUCUUCCUCUUCUACAAAAGAUGAUACCAAGAAGAGGAGCAACAAUAUGGUAGCAACUUCAACAAAUGAAGGAAGUACACAAAAUUUCAAGACCAAUAUUCCUGAUCUACAAAAGGGUCCUAAGGGAAGAAAACACUCAAGAGCUUCAAGGCCUUCAUUUCAAUGGAAAAACAAGAUCUUCAAUGAUAGUGAACAUGAAGUUCCUAGUGGUCCAAACCCCAUUUCAAACAGGUAA